ACGUUAAAACACCGGUUUCCAUACGAUCACCGAAGUUAAGCAAUGCCAAGCCUGAUCAUUACCUACAAGGGUGACUGCUUGGGAAUACCAGGUUCUGUAA